rnacentral:rRNA from 1 species
AAAGCUAAUAAGAGUGCAGAGAGAAUGCCUUGGCAUAUAGAGCCGAUGAAGGACGCGAUUAACUGCGAUAAGCUGCGGUUAGCGGUAAGUACGCUAUGACCCGCAGAUUUCCGAAUGGAGCAAUCCACGUGUGGUAAUUCAUACGUAUCAUAUACUGAAUAAAAUAGGUAUAUGAGGGGAACCGCCUGAACUGAAACAUCUAAGUAGGGCGAGGAAAAGAAAUCAACCGAGAUUCCGAAAGUAGUGGCGAGCGAAAUUGGAAGAGGCCGUGACAUCAAACGAUUCAUGAGACUUAAUUGAAAUGUAUGGGAAGACAUACCGAAGAUGGUGAGAGUCCAGUAAGUGAAAAGUCGAGUGACGUUGUCGAAGAGUACCGCCGGACACGUGAAAUCCGGUGGGAAGAUGGGGGGACCACCCUCCAAGCCUAAAUACUCCUAUAUGACCGAUAGUGAAUAGUACUGUGAAGGAAAGGUGAAAAGAACCCCGGGAGGGGAGUGAAAAGAACCUGAAACUCUGUAUUUACAAGCACUGAGAGAGCCUUAUGUGCUCGAUUAGGUACCUAUUGUAGAAUGGUCCGGCGAGUUAUCACGCGUUGCAAGGUUAAGUUAUUAAGUAACGGAGCCGAAGCGAGAGCAAGUCUUAAAAGGGCGAUAAGUAGCGUGUGAUAGACCCGAAACCCGGUGACCUAUCCUUGUCCAGGUUGAAGCAAAGGUAAGACUUUGUGGAGGACCGAACCGACUCCUGUUGAAAUAGUAGCGGAUGAGAUGAGGAUAGCGGAGAAAUUCCAAUCGAACUGGGAUAUAGCUGGUUCUCCCCGAAAUAGCUUUAGGGCUAGCGUCGAGAUAAGAUUUUUGGAGGUAAAGCACUGAAUGAGCUAGGGGCCGAGAGGUUACUGAACUCUAUCAAACUCAGAAUGCCAAAAAAUUGUUUCUCGGCAGUCAGACUGUGUGAGAUAAGUUUCAUAGUCGAAAGGGAAACAGCCCAGACCCGCAGUUAAGGUCCCAAAAUUGAUUUAAGUGGAGAAGGAUGUGGAGUUGCGUAGACAACCAGGAUGUUGGCUUAGAAGCAGCCACUCAUUAAAAGAGUGCGUAAUAGCUCACUGGUCGAGUGACUCUGCGCCGAAAAUUCAACGGGGCUAAAAUCAAUACCGAAACUCGGGCGUCGGUUAGUUGAAAGUGUAUAGUGUAAAGUGUAUAGUUGGAAUGGUGAACUGAGAUGUCGUAUAGUAUAGCGUAUGAAAAAGCAAAGAAAUUUGCGAUAAGAGUUGUAAAUAUGCAUUAAUAUUUGUUGCAAAAAUACAAGAUGUAUGAUUUAGCAUCGCAAGUAAUACGAAGCGGACAGCAAUAGGUGCCAAUAUUUGCGAGGCAAUAAAUGGUCAAAGUCAUAAAGAGUUUACCGCAAAAAUGAGCAUAUCCUUAAAAGAAGCAAAUGAAACCGUAUAUUGGUUGGAAUUGCUCUAUGAAACUCAUUAUUUAGAUGAGAAAACAUAUUUAAGCAUGCGAAAUGAUUGCGAUGAAUUAAUUAAGAUGUUGGUGACCAUUGUAAAGAAUGCUCGCAGUAAAAACUAUUAACUUUAAACUGUCAACUUUCAACUAUCCGACGGGUAGGGGAGCGUCGUAUACGGGGUGAAGUCAUACCGUAAGGAGUGGUGGACUGUAUACGAGUGAGAAUGCCGGAAUAAGUAGCGAGAAUUAUGUGAGAAUCAUAAUGGCCGAAAGUCUAAGGUUUUGGGAGGCAGGUUCGUCCGCUUCCAGUAAGCCGGGAGCUAAGGCGAGGCCGAAAGGCGUAGUCGAUGCACACACGGUAGAAAUUCCGUGGCUACCGAAAUUUAAGUCAAGGGACACUUUCAAAGGGUUUAGCGAGGUGUUGGUAACCCUCGUUCGUAAGUAAGGUCGUAAGGCUGAUGUAGACUUGGAGGAAGGCGAGAAAAGCUUGAUGGAAUAAUAAGGUACCCGUACCGCAAACCGACACAGGUAGACAGGAAGAAGAUUCUAAGGCCAGCGGGAGAAGGGUUGUUAAGGAACUCGGCAAGUUGACCCCGUAACUUCGGGAGAAGGGGUGCUGAUGCGAGUCAGCCGCAGAGAAUAGGCCCAAGCAACUGUUUAGCAAAAACACAGCUCUAUGCUAAAUCGAAAGAUGACGUAUAUGGGGUGACACCUGCCCGGUGCCGGAAGGUUAAGAGGAGGGGUGCAAGCUCUGAAUUGAAGCCCCGGUAAACGGCGGCCGUAACUAUAACGGUCCUAAGGUAGCGAAAUUCCUUGUCAGGUAAGUUCUGACCCGCACGAAUGGUGUAAUGAUUUGGGCACUGUCUCGACAGCCCGCCCGGCGAAAUUGUAGUACCGGUGAAGAUGCCGGUUACCCGCGACUAGACGGAAAGACCCCAUGGAGCUUCACUGUAGCUUAAUAUUGGAAUUCGGUAUGUGAUGUACAGGAUAGGCGGGAGACUAGGAAGUAUGGGCGUCAGCUUGUAUGGAGUCAACCUUGGGAUACCGCUCUUUAUGUGCUGGAUUUCUAACCUGCGGCUCUGAAUCGAGUCGGGGGACAGUGUUAGGUGGGCAGUUUGACUGGGGCGGUCGCCUCCAAAAGAGUAACGGAGGCGCUCAAAGUUCUACUCAGCACGGACGGAAACCGUGCCUCUGAGUGCAAACGCAUAAGUAGGACUAACUGCGAGAAUGACGGUUCGAGCAGUAACGAAAGUUGGAGUUAGUGAUCCGGCGGUAAAUGAGAGUGGAAUUGCCGUCGCUCAACGGAUAAAAGCUACCCUGGGGAUAACAGGCUGAUCUCCCCCAAGAGUCCACAUCGACGGGGAGGUUUGGCACCUCGAUGUCGGCUCAUCGCAUCCUGGGGCUGAAUUCGGUCCCAAGGGUUUGGCUGUUCGCCAAUUAAAGCGGUACGCGAGCUGGGUUCAGAACGUCGUGAGACAGUUCGGUCCCUAUCUGUCGUGGGCGUAGGAAAUUUGAACGGAGCUGUCCUUAGUACGAGAGGACCGGGAUGGACGCACCUCUGGUGUAUCAGUUGUCUUGCCAAAGGCACGGCUGAGCAGCUAAGUGCGGAACGGAUAAAAGCUGAAAGCAUCUAAGCUUGAAACCGCCCGUAAGAUAAGAUUUCCCAUCCUUUAAUGGAGUAAGACCCCUUGAAGACUACAAGGUUGAUAGGCUGCGUGUGUAAGCAUAGUGAUAUGUUUAGCUUGGCAGUACUAAUAGGUCGAGGGCUUUUC